AUAUCAAUAAGCGGAGGAAAAGAAACCAACAGGGAUUGCCCCAGUAACGGCGAGUGAAGCGGCAACAGCUCAAAUUUGAAAUCUGGCCCCUAGGGUCCGAGUUGUAAUUUGCAGAGGAUGCUUUUGACAAGGUGCCUUCCGAGUUCCCUGGAACGGGACGCCAUAGAGGGUGAGAGCCCCGUCUGGUCGGAUACCGCGUCUCUGUAAAGCUCCUUCGACGAGUCGAGUAGUUUGGGAAUGCUGCUCAAAAUGGGAGGUAUAUGUCUUCUAAAGCUAAAUAUUGGCCAGAGACCGAUAGCGCACAAGUAGAGUGAUCGAAAGAUGAAAAGCACUUUGAAAAGAGGGUUAAAAAGUAC
rnacentral:rRNA from 1 species